GCUGCCUAGUAGGUGGUGGAUGGGGAUUCAAAUCCAACGGUGACUCCAGUGCUUCUGCCACUCACCCUUUGAGUGUGCUGACUUCCGGGGGUGUUCUGUUCUCAGAAAAAAGCAAGUCUUGCAGUUUGGUGGGAGAGAGUAUGCAGUCACCAACAUGGCAUGAAUUUAGGAGUGAAUAAACGAAAGAAAAGAAAAAAACCUAUUAUUUAGAGUGCUAUGAAUGGUGUAAGCAAGCCUCUUUUGAGAGAGAAGAGCUUCACGGAGAAGCAGAUUUUGCUGGUGGUGAAACAGGGGAAGGUCAUUCCUGGCAGAGGGAGCAGACAGGCCUGAUAGAAGUCAGUCUGACUCUUCCUUGACCACUUUAAGCCCCAGUAGCCGGCCCAGAUCCUCCCACGAUUCUUGCUGCCUCCCGAACUGCAGUGUGAGCAAAUGAGAUAAGUACAAAAUAUUCCUACACCACUGGCUCCAUGCUCUCCUCAUAUUCAAUCAUGAAGACUAAUGAACCAGAGAUGAUUACGGUGGUAAAAAUCCAAAUGCAGAUUUUUGCUGUCCUUACUAAUGAGAGAAAAAUAUAGUAGACCAUUGGCCUAAAGGCUCCAGAUGCGAUUCCUUUGUAACUUAGAGUGCAUUAAAAAAGCUUCAGUCAGCAAGAUAAGUUAAUUUUUUUAUGACCUUUAUAAACUCUUUUAGCCUGUAUCUCGGGAGCUUCUUAAAGAUUAAAUUUUAAAAAAUCCUUUUAGCUCAGGCCAACACAGCAUCUGAGUCUUUUUUGCUUCCAAGGCUACAUCCAAAAUCUAUAAAAAAAUUCUGUUCAUGACAAUUAUUGUCAAAGUAAUGAUUAGCUAACAUGUCAUUUUUAGUUUUUACUGUUCUUGCCUCUAUGAGACUAAUCCAAUAAAGCUCACAUCUUCUUAAUGUAAAAGUUGCAUGAAGGAUGCAUUAUUCCCGUUGACUUUGCCUACAUUUGCAAAUUCUUGAAAAAGCAAAUUGAAUUGUCACUAGUGGCACCUCUUUCACAGGAUGAUUGUUGGGUCAAAGUGAGAGUGUAGGGGACAAAUAUCAAGAUUUUUGUUAAAAGAAAAAAAUCCCUACCUAAGAACUGUAAAGCUGUAUUAAUAUAUAAUUGAGGCCAUGGACUUUAGUAGACCAUAAGGCACAGCUACCCAAGGUGAUGGGUAUAAUUUUGCAGGGGGAGGAAUGUCGGAGGAAUGUGAAGGGCUCUUCAUUGAUGGCAUCACAAAUUUAAUUUAUUAUGUGAAACAUGUAGUUUCUUCUCACCUCUUUGGUUGUAGGAUAACUGCUCCUUUUAAACACUGUGCUUUUGACUGGCUUGAUUGGUAACUACAAAAGUCAUCAUCCUAGGCAUCUGUCACUACUUCUAUUACAUCCAACCUACUGACCCAGAAAAUCUGUGGUUGACACAAUUGAUUUCUCUAAAAGAUUCAUUCAGCAUUUAUUUUAUUUUUGACAUCCACCUACAAGGUCCCACAGAAAUUUAGUACCUACAUCUCUGUGUAAGAGAAACACAGCCCUUUAUAAAAAGUGCAUAUCCUGAAGUGAGGAGCUGGAACAAAGCAGGAGUCUUGCUUAGAAUGAUUCACUGAAGUAACUGGAUUUAUUAAGAUGUAUGUGAGCUUUGGUGACUAUGCCACUGAAGACAUUUGUGCUCACCUCGUGAGAGGCUGCCACUGGAAAUAACAAC
rnacentral:lncRNA from 1 species